rnacentral:rRNA from 1 species
UAUCAAUAAGCGGAGGAAAAGAAACCAACAGGGAUUGCCUUAGUAACUGCGAGUGAAGCGGCAAAAGCUCAAAUUUGAAAUCGGUGUCCAUAAAGUACAUCGAGUUGUAAUUUGGAGGGACAACUUCGGGCCGAACCACACCGUAAGUUUUUUGGAACAGGACAUCAUAGAGGGUGAGAAUCCCGUGUCUUGGUGUAGGGUCAAACCAUGUGAAGUGUCUCCGACGAGUCGAGUUGUUUGGGAAUGCAGCUCAAAAUGGGUGGUAAAUUUCAUCUAAAGCUAAAUAUUGGCGAGAGACCGAUAGCGCACAAGUAGAGUGAUCGAAAGAUGAAAAGCACUUUGAAAAGAGAGUUAAAAAGUACGUGAAAUUGUUGAAAGGGAAGCGCUUGCGACCAGACUCGAUCUUUGGAGAUCAGCCGGGCUUCGGUUCGGUGCCCUCUUCAUUGAUUGGGCCAGCAUCGGUUCUGGCGGUGGGAUAAAAGGAGGAGGAAUGUGGCUCCCCUCGGGGAGUGUUAUAGCCACCUUCACAAUGCUACCAGUUGGGACCGAGGACCGCGCUUCGGCUAGGAUGCUGGUGUAAUGGUCUUAAGCGACCCGUCUUGAAACACGGACCAAGGAGUCUAACAUCUAUGCGAGUGUUCGGGUGGAAAACCCUUGCGCGUAAUGAAAGUGAACGGAGGUGUGAACCCUUUGCCGGGUGCAACAUCGACCGGUCCUGAUGUCUUCGGAAGGAUCUGAGUAAGAGCAUAGCUGUUGGGACCCGAAAGAUGGUGAACUAUGCCUGAAUAGGGUGAAGCCAGAGGAAACUCUGGUGGAGGCUCGCAGCGGUUCUGACGUGCAAAUCGAUCGUCAAAUUUGGGUAUAGGG